rnacentral:rRNA from 1 species
AUACGUAGGUGGCAAGCGUUAUCCGGAUUUAUUGGGCGUAAAGCGAGCGCAGGCGGUUGCUUAGGUCUGAUGUGAAAGCCUUCGGCUUAACCGAAGAAGUGCAUCGGAAACCGGGCGACUUGAGUGCAGAAGAGGACAGUGGAACUCCAUGUGUAGCGGUGGAAUGCGUAGAUAUAUGGAAGAACACCAGUGGCGAAGGCGGCUGUCUGGUCUGUAACUGACGCUGAGGCUCGAAAGCGUGGGGAGC